UACUGCUUGAAGUGUCAAAACACAAUUCACAGACAUUAAAACAUGGGUAUCCUGCGCCAGAUUCCAAAGCCUGAGGUGGACAUAUUUCUUAAUGUCCACUGUCCUUUAACCUAAGACUUGGUGCAAUGCUG
rnacentral:snoRNA from 1 species